AGAGUUUGAUCCUGGCUCAGAAUGAACGCUGGCGGCAGGCCUAACACAUGCAAGUCAAACGGCUUCUUCGGAAGCAGUGGCGCACGGGUGCGUAACACGUGGGAAUAUACCCUUAGGUAUGGAAUAACUCAGUGAAAACUGUGCUAAUACCAUAUAACAUCUCCGGAUCAAAGAUUUAUCGCCUAGGGAUUAGCCCGCGUCUGAUUAGUUUGUUGGUGAGGUAAGAGCUCACCAAGACUACGAUCAGUAGCUGGUCUGAGAGGAUGAUCAGCCACACUGGAACUGAGACACGGUCCAGACUCCUACGGGAGGCAGCAGUGAGGAAUAUUGCACAAUGGAGGAAACUCUGAUGCAGCCAUGCCGCGUGAGUGAAGAAGGCCUUAGGGUUGUAAAUCUCUUUCAGUAGUGAAGAUAAUGACGGUAACUACAGAAGAAGCUCCGGCUAACUUCGUGCCAGCAGCCGCGGUAAUACGAAGGGAGCGAGCGUUAUUCGGAAUCACUGGGCUUAAAGCGUGCGUAGGCGGAUAGGAAAGUCAGAAGUGAAAUCCCAGGGCUCAACCCUGGAACUGCUUUUGAAACUUCCAAUCUAGAAUUCGGUAGAGGCUGAUGGAAUAUCAAGUGUAGAGGUGAAAUUCGCAGAUAUUUGAUGGAACACCAGUGGCGAAGGCGAUCAGCUGGGCCGAUAUUGACGCUGAGGUA
rnacentral:rRNA from 1 species